AUGAACGCUGGCGGCGUGCCUAAUACAUGCAAGUAGCACGCUGAAGGAAGGAGCUUGCUCUUUCCGGAUGAGUUGCGAACGGGUGAGUAACGCGUAGGUAACCUGCCUGGUAGCGGGGGAUAACUAUUGGAAACGAUAGCUAAUACCGCAUAACAGUAGAUGUUGCAUGAUAUCUACUUAAAAGGUGCAAUUGCACCACUACCAGAUGGACCUGCGUUGUAUUAGCUAGUUGGUGAGGUAACGGCUCACCAAGGCGACGAUACAUAGCCGACCUGAGAGGGUGAUCGGCCACACUGGGACUGAGACACGGCCCAGACUCCUACGGGAGGCAGCAGUAGGGAAUCUUCGGCAAUGGACGGAAGUCUGACCGAGCAACGCCGCGUGAGUGAAGAAGGUUUUCGGAUCGUAAAGCUCUGUUGUAAGAGAAGAACGAGUGUGAGAGUGGAAAGUUCACACUGUGACGGUAUCUUACCAGAAAGGGACGGCUAACUACGUG
rnacentral:rRNA from 1 species